rnacentral:rRNA from 1 species
GCAACGAGCGCAACCCUUGUCUUAAUUGCCAUCAUUCAGUUGGGCACUUUAAAGUAGACUGUCGGUGUUAAACCGGAGGAAGGUGGGGAUGACGUCAAGUCUCAUGGCCUUUAUGCCCAGGGCUACACACGUGCUACAAUGGGUGGUACAAAGAGCAGCAAGCUCGCGAGAGCAAGCGAAUCUCAAAAAGCCAUCCUCAGUUCGGAUUGAAGUCUGCAACUCGACUUCAUGAAGUCGGAAUCGCUAGUAAUCGCGGAUCGGCAUGCCGCGGUGAAUACGUUCCCGGGCCUU